CCUACGGGAGGCAGCAGUGAGGAAUAUUGGUCAAUCUGCGAAAGCGGGAACCAGCAACGCCGCGUGAAGGAAGAAGGCCUUCGGGUUGUAAACUUCUUUAGGGGAAGACGAGAAAGGACGGUAUUCCCAAAAUAAGCAACGGCAAACUACGUGCCAGCAGCCGCGGUAAUA
rnacentral:rRNA from 1 species